CGCGUGUCACCCCAGGCCCCCUAUAAGUAGGAGCCUCGAUCCCGCAUCCCUUGAUCACUUUCGCUUACCAAUAUCCCUUGAAUCUCUCUCUCUCCCUCUUCCGUGUUUGUUCUGCAUUUUCUCAAGCUCGUUCGAAAAGGGCUUCUUGCAGAGAGCAAAUUCACUCCUUCGCUUCGGUAAAGAGAGAGCUAGCAGAAGAGAAAAAGAAGAGGGGAAAAUGGCGGACGAGAGCACGAUGAACUGCGUCGACAUCCUCCUAGCCAUCAUCUUGCCUCCUCUCGGGGUCUUCCUCAAGUUUGGUUGCCAGGUGGAGUUCUGGAUCUGUGUGUUGCUCACUAUCUUAGGCUGGAUUCCCGGUAUCAUUUAUGCCAUCUAUGCCAUUACCAAGUAACUGAACUUGAUUGGGUGGCGAUGCGUGAUGGGCCGAUGCGCCUCCAUCCAACGGUCGCGGAUUUCGUGGGAUGUCGUCUUCUUCGAAUGUGUCCUUUCUUCUCUUUGGUUUUUUCCUGUAAUUGUCAUUAGUUGUCCGUAGUGUGAUUAUUUGUUGUAUUGUUGGAUUCAUUUCUUAUUUAUCAUGUCUCUCUCCCGAUACGUCGGCAGAUUUUCUGAUUGCUAUUUUAUCUCAUUUCUUUAAUUGACCCCACUUGAGGUUUA